rnacentral:rRNA from 1 species
GUGGCGAACGGGUGAGUAACACGUGAGCAACCUGCCCUGGACUCUGGGAUAAGCGCUGGAAACGGCGUCUAAUACUGGAUAUGAGCCCCUAUCGCAUGGUGGGGGUUGUAAAGAUUUUUUGGUCUGGGAUGGGCUCGCGGCCUAUCAGCUUGUUGGUGAGGUAAUGGCUCACCAAGGCGUCGACGGGUAGCCGGCCUGAGAGGGUGACCGGCCACACUGGGACUGAGACACGGCCCAGACUCCUACGGGAGGCAGCAGUGGGGAAUAUUGCACAAUGGGCGAAAGCCUGAUGCAGCAACGCCGCGUGAGGGAUGACGGCCUUCGGGUUGUAAACCUCUUUUAGCAGGGAAGAAGCGAAAGUGACGGUACCUGCAGAAAAAGCGCCGGCUAACUACGUGCCAGCAGCCGCGGUAAUACGUAGGGCGCAAGCGUUAUCCGGAAUUAUUGGGCGUAAAGAGCUCGUAGGCGGUUUGUCGCGUCUGCUGUGAAAUCCCGAGGCUCAACCUCGGGCCUGCAGUGGGUACGGGCAGACUAGAGUGCGGUAGGGGAGAUUGGAAUUCCUGGUGUAGCGGUGGAAUGCGCAGAUAUCAGGAGGAACACCGAUGGCGAAGGCAGAUCUCUGGGCCGUAACUGACGCUGAGGAGCGAAAGGGUGGGGAGCAAACAGGCUUAGAUACCCUGGUAGUCCACCCCGUAAACGUUGGGAACUAGUUGUGGGG